AUUGAACGCUGGCGGCAUGCUUUACACAUGCAAGUCGAACGGUAACAGCACUUCGGUGGCUGACGAGUGGCGAACGGGUGAGUAAUACAUCGGAACGUGCCUAGUAGUGGGGGAUAACUACUCGAAAGAGUAGCUAAUACCGCAUGAGAUCUAAGGAUGAAAGCAGGGGACCUUCGGGCCUUGCGCUACUAGAGCGGCUGCUGGCAGAUUAGGUAGUUGGUGGGAUAAAAGCUUACCAAGCCGACGAUCUGUAGCUGGUCUGAGAGGACGACCGGCCACACUGGGACUGAGAAACGGCCCAGACUCCUACGGGAGGCAGCAGUGGGGAAUUUUGGACAAUGGGCGCAAGCCUGAUCCAGCAAUGCCGCGUGCAGGAUGAAGGCCUUCGGGUUGUAAACUGCUUUUGUACGGAACGAAAAGCCCUCUUCUAAUACAGGAGGGUCAUGACGGUACCGUAAGAAUAAGCACCGGCUAACUACGU
rnacentral:rRNA from 1 species